rnacentral:rRNA from 1 species
UAGGCGUAAAUGAUGCGAGUUAAGUGUGGGGCAUCUACGAGAUGGCCCUGUGCUGUAGGGUAGCCGUUAAACUCGCCGCCUGGGGAGUACGGUCGCAAGGCUGAAACUUAAAGGAUUGGCGGGGGAGCACCACAACGGGUGGAGCUUGCGGUUUAAUUGGACUCAACGCCGGGAAGCUCACCGGAUAAGACAGCGGAAUGAUUGCCGGGCUGAAGACCCUGCAUGACCAGCUGAGAGGUGGUGCAUGGCGUAGACGUCU